rnacentral:snoRNA from 10 species
UGGACCAGUGAUGACCACUGGUGGCAUAUGAGUCAUACACAUGAACACCAUGUUUCUAGAACUCUGAGGUCCAA